UUUCCGCUAUACAUGCGCACAACGCAACCUCUCAAACCCAGAGAGGACGUCGGUGGCGAACGAAAGCUCUCGCCUUUGAGGUGGAAGUCCUACGGGCGCCGCCUUCUUCGAUUACAGAUGGGGUAGUCCUAUUUCCCUCCUACUUAUUUCAAUCUCUUUCGUUUUUUGAUGGUUUAGUUGACUCCAUAUCGAUCUUUUGUUUGAGGUGAUCCGCUUAGUGUAUGAUGAUGAUUGUCUGGUUGAUUUUAGUUGGUACGACCAGAAAUUUCCGAGGCAAUGCGUUCAUCCUAUUGAGAGGUAAGGGUUUGGCGUUCUGAUUUCUGAUCCUGGUCCAUUGAGUGCCUUCUCUUGUGACUCUAAAGUAGUUGAAAAGGAAAUGAUGGUAGAAAAGGAUGUAUUGUGUCUCUAUGAGGCCACCUUCUACUGUACGAACGCUUAUGGACGGUCAAGUGCUGAUUGGACUUGUGCAUAUCAGCACGUAACAAAAGCAUAAGCUAAAGAGACUAUCUGCCACUCGCAAUCCUUCCUUAAAGCAAUCAUCUUUGAGGAAAGUACUGUUAGUGGUAUUCAAUUCUGGGACGUUAAUCAUCUCAGGGUUCUCUUUUUGUGUCUUUGACUAUAUUAUAUGUUAUACUGUAACUCUUUUUGAUGUUUGGGUUAAUCCUGAUUUAUAUCUUGCAUUGUGCUAUUUGUAACUGUAUUAUGCUACCAUCACCUGCUUCCACAAACAACUCCAUUUAGUGGUACUUUCUUUGGACCAACUCCAUUUAAUUAUGUAGUUGACCUAUGAGCGUUAAUUGAGUUUGGCUGUUUGAUUGUCUGAUGUGUUGUCUAGUCUUUGAACUCAAAGAAUAAGUUAAUUAGUAAUUGAUGGUACAGAAGGAUUUUCUUGUAUGUCCACGAGGCAUCUUCCAACCAUUCAAAUGCUUAUGGACGGUCAAGUGCUGAUUUGACUUGGGCACAUCAGCACCUAACAAUAUCAUAAGCUAAAGAAACCAUCUGCCACUGGCAAUCGUUCCUUGUUAGCAAUCAUUCGAGGAAAAUAUGCUUGGUGGCAUUCAUUUUUAUACAUACUCAUGGUUGGAGUUAGACUGGUUUGUAAUUUGGAGAUUGUUAUAUUUAUAAAUAUAUGUAAAUUUUGUAAGUAACUGCCUCCAUAAAUAUUCGUGUGAGUUGUCUUGUGCUGAUAUUGGGCUUCACAUACCAAUGAAAGUUCGGGUGCUGAAGUUGAAGUUUCAUUUGACUGACACCGCAUAUAGAGUUUUGUAAUCAAGGAGAGGAGAUAGCAACAUUAAGAUAAUUAAGCAUGUUAGGAGCCUGGGUAUGGAUAUUUUGGUAAUAAGAAUCAGAGGAUUGAGCAAGAGAGUCAAAUUUCAAUUCAACAAGGCAUUCUGUGACAGUGAAUUCUUUGUUUUUGCCUGCAAGAGAGGGUUCUUUGCUUAGUGAAAGCUUUUAGUUACCUCUUUGAGUUGUCAAAAUUCGUGGCUGAAAAACUUGCUAUCUUGUACAUUUAUGCUUCAUUAUAUAUAAAGAUGUUUUCUUUGUCUUUUUUGACACUGCAUUAUCAGUAGCUUGUGUUUUGUCUUCUCUAUACCUUUUUAUAGGGUUGACCAUUGCUUGGUUCUCCCUGGAUGUGGAUGAAUUUUGUUAUGAUAAUAGUCUUAUUUUCUUGAUGACCCUCCUUACCAGCUAAAGGUUAGUCAUAAAAAUGGCAUAUGAAGUGUUUUUGUCUGUGUUACCAGUUGUGGGCACUUAAUGAUUUAUAAGGAUCACGGAAGAUUCCAGUCAUAAAAAUAGCAAAUGAUCUCUUGUCUCUAAUACAAAAUGAUUCUUAUGCUGUAAAAUUAAUCUGUAUGCAGUUGUUUAAUUGUGAGUAGGCUAGAAUAUCAAUCUUGCAAUAUUAAAGUCACUGUGAAUUUUGCAUAGAUCAGCAGCAUACAAGGAUUAGAGGUUUAGAUGUAUUAUCAUGGCAACACUGGUAAAGCUUUACAUAAAUGAAGCUUUAUUAUUAUUAUUUUUGUCUAAAUUAUUCCGACAACUGAAGUCUACGGCAGGAAGAUGUUGUGUGGGAGUCGGUCGCAAGCUGAGUGAGGAUCCAGAGGUGGGCUGAUAAAUCAUAUAAGCCACCUUGGCAAUGAAUGAAAGAAUCUUUUUGCUAAUUAAUCUCAUGGCAGAGGAAUUGUUUUAGAGAAAAUAUGAGCAAAAUGAUAUCUCCUUAAUGCCUAUUUCUUCCUUGUGAGACGACAAUAUUAUGGCUUGUGUAGUGGAUUCAAACUGCAGAGGUAUUGAGGCAAAGGAGAAAACUCGUCAUCCAGAAGUGUGCUUGCGAUCAGCUGAUUGUAAAUGAAAGAAGAUUUCUGAUAUCCUGCCAAAUGAUGGUUGCUUGCAUUUCAUCAAGGAAAAUGACGAGGUGUGCAUGUGGCUGAAAAAUUUUCAGGUGUUUUUUCUUUAAUGAAUUCAUAGAGUUGAAUCUCUGUGGAUCAUGGCAGCAGGAGAUUUUCAAGAUGUUUAGCUCUGAUUGAGUAGGAGAAGCAUCUAUAUCAUAUGUUUCUCUGCCACUUCUUAAAGACCAGCAUUAAAGAGCAGCAGUAAGCUACAUAAGCAGACCUCACAUUUUUGAAGUCUCGUGAUGUUGAAAAGAUAAAUACCAUGCUGAUGUUAGUACUGUUUUUACCUUGCAUUUUGCAUUUUGCAUUUGCUGUAUGAUUUUGGAGAACAAUGUAUUCUUUGGCACCUGUUUUGUUGAUUGACUUCUUUCUCAUCCGUGAAUGUAUUGUUAUAUUAGUGUUGUAUCGUAAAACAGUUGGUUGUGUAUUCUUUUUCAAACAAAGGGAACAGUGUCUCUAUUCCUUC